GGGUCAGUAGGCUGGUCGUGCCACCGGUACGUACUGGUCUCACUGAUUCCUCCUUCCUGAGGAACCAUAAUGCCAUUAAUUUGGUGUCGCGGGGAAACAGGACUGUUACUUUGAAAAAAUUAGAGUGUUUAAAGCAAGCUAACGCUUGAAUACAUUAGCAUGGAAUAAUGAAAUAGGACGAUCGAUCCUAUUUUGUUGGUUUCUAGGAUUGACGUA
rnacentral:rRNA from 1 species